rnacentral:rRNA from 1 species
CGAGUUGUCUGAACCUUCGGGGAACGAUAACGGCGUCGAGCGGCGGACGGGUGAGUAAUGCCUAGGAAAUUGCCUUGAUGUGGGGGAUAACCAUUGGAAACGAUGGCUAAUACCGCAUAAUGCCUACGGGCCAAAGAGGGGGACCUUCGGGCCUCUCGCGUCAAGAUAUGCCUAGGUGGGAUUAGCUAGUUGGUGAGGUAAUGGCUCACCAAGGCGACGAUCCCUAGCUGGUCUGAGAGGAUGAUCAGCCACACUGGAACUGAGACACGGUCCAGACUCCUACGGGAGGCAGCAGUGGGGAAUAUUGCACAAUGGGCGCAAGCCUGAUGCAGCCAUGCCGCGUGUAUGAAGAAGGCCUUCGGGUUGUAAAGUACUUUCAGCAGUGAGGAAGGGGGUGUCGUUAAUAGCGGCAUUUCUUGACGUUAGCUGCAGAAGAAGCACCGGCUAACUCCGUGCCAGCAGCCGCGGUAAUACGGAGGGUGCGAGCGUUAAUCGGAAUUACUGGGCGUAAAGCGCAUGCAGGUGGUUUGUUAAGUCAGAUGUGAAAGCCCGGGGCUCAACCUCGGAACUGCAUUUGAAACUGGCAAACUAGAGUACUGUAGAGGGGGGUAGAAUUUCAGGUGUAGCGGUGAAAUGCGUAGAGAUCUGAAGGAAUACCAGUGGCGAAGGCGGCCCCCUGGACAGAUACUGACACUCAGAUGCGAAAGCGUGGGGAGCAAACAGGAUUAGAUACCCUGGUAGUCCACGCCGUAAACGAUGUCUACUUGGAGGUUGUGGCCUUGAGCCGUGGCUUUCGGAGCUAACGCGUUAAGUAGACCGCCUGGGGAGUACGGUCGCAAGAUUAAACUCAAAUGAAUUGACGGGGGCCCGCACAAGCGGUGGAGCAUGUGGUUUAAUUUCGAUGCACGCGAGAUCUACUACUCUGACAUCCAGAGACCUUACAGAGAUGCAUUGUGCUCGGGACUCUGAGACAGUGCUGCAUGCCUGUCGUCAGCUCGGUUGUGAAAUGUGGGUUAGUCGCACGAGGGUCAAUCUCACUGCCUGCAGCGGAUAGUCGAUCCAGGACUGCGUGAUCA